CGGGACUGCGCGGAGGCGACUGCAGACGUAUCGGGGGUCCGGAGCCUGUCGCGGCUGCUAAGCGCUCGGCGCCUGGCGCUGGCGCUGGCCAAGGCUCUCUGGGCUGUCAGCCUUUACUGUUCCAGGAUACAGAUCUCCUGAUUCAGGUGUCCAGUGCCUUUUGAACUGAACGCAAGCCCUCCUGGACGAUUGGAACUGUAAUGUGGAAAGGGCUCUGAUGGAGCCAGUUAAAAUGCUUCAUUAUUUGCAAAAUACCACAUACAGUAAUACGAUCUGGAUGUCUUUCCCCUCCUCCACUAAGUAGCAUAAGUGAAGACUUCCCAGAGGAAGUGCGCCUUUUUCAUCUCGUAUCUGAGUCAUGGCCAACAGUGUUGCAAACAGGAACCCGAGGUGUUCACUUCACUGUUGAAGGAACGAGAG
rnacentral:lncRNA from 1 species